UUGAGGGCCUGCUCAGUGAGGUUACAUGUUAGAGGGAGUGGGGUAUAGUGACACAGUAACAGAGGGAUUGAGGGCCUGCUCAGUGAGUUUACAUGUUAGAGGGAGUGGGGUAUAGUGACAAUAACAGAGGGAUUGAGGGCCUGCUCAGUGAGUUUACAUGUUAGAGGGAGUGGGGUAUAGUGACACAGUAACAGAGGGAUUGAGGGCC